CUACGGGUCGCUGCAGUGAGGAAUAUUGCACAAUGGAGGAAACUCUGAUGCAGCAACGCCGCGUGGAGGAUGGCACUUUUCGGAGCGUAAACUCCUUUUAUAUAGGAAGAAGAUGACGGUACUAUAUGAAUAAGCGCCGGCUAACUCCGUGCCAGCAGCCGCGGUAAUACGGAGGGCGCAAGCGUUACUCGGAAUCACUGGGCGUAAAGAGCGUGUAGGCGGAUUAAAAAGUCAGAAGUGAAAUCCUAUAGCUUAACUAUAGAACUGCUUCUGAAACUCUUAAUCUAGAAUAUGGGAGAGGUAGAUGGAAUUUCUGGUGUAGGGGUAAAAUCCGUAGAGAUCAGAAGGAAUACCGAUUGCGAAGGCGAUCUACUAGAACAUUAUUGACGCUGAGACGCGAAAGCGUGGGGAGCAAACAGGAUUAGAUACCCUUGUAGUC
rnacentral:rRNA from 1 species